CUCUAUUGCUUCGAUAAAAGGAUCUUUCACAUGAAGAGAUUAAUUAGAGAUGAAUUAAUUAAUUGCAAUGCCAAAUGGUGAUAUCUGCCAUGUCCUGCGUGCGCAUCUUUUAUAGGUCAUGUCAAAAAUCGACCAAUCGCAAUCCACAUACCGGAGAUGGAGGUUUUUGAUUGGCUGAGGUCAAGUGACUUGUUAGGUUGAGUAAUUUUCUGCCUGUCGUUUGUGCGACCAAUGAGAUCGCAUCUUUUAGCUUAUCUUUUUUCUGAUUGGAGAAGAUCUGCUGGAUAAUAAAAUUGAGUGAUUUCUUACUUGUCAUAUGUGUGACCAAUAGCAUCACCCCCUUUUUGUCGAUCUGAAUUCUCAUUGGAGGAAAUAACCAGAUCUCUUACCUUCACUGGAGUUUCAGUAGCAAUCAGGUGUCGGGUGUAAACACAGUGUUCAGCAGAUCUCCGAAUUGAUUAAGUGCCAGGGGCAUAGUGUAGGAUGCCUCAGGAGGGGUUGGGGAGUAAGGCGGGUGGGAAAAAGCGGUCUGGCCUCCCGCGUGUCCGCAGCCACACAGAUGCUGAGCUCCAGUAUUUUCGGGAUCAAGAUCAUGAAAGCCUUCUUCCACACCCGUUCAGAGUUAGACUCAAUGAUUUAUUCCUGCACAUAGAGAAGGAGUUUGAAGCUCUGUAUGCUGAAAACCUUUCAUUGCAAGAAAAAGUCGAGAGUUUAACCGAGAGGCUGGAGAGAGAGUCAGUAAUAGGUGACAGAACAGGAGGUAAUGAUGACAAUGAUGGUGCUUCAACGAAAGGAGCUAUCAAAAGCAAAUCUGGAGGUCAGAGUUCACAGAAAGUGAAAGCAGCGAACAAGCUUCGUGUACAGACAUCCAAGAUAGUGUCAAGCUUCAAGAAUGACUCUGUGUCUUGCCGAAUGGUGCGUGAGUAUGUUGGUCACAGGGAUGGGGUAUGGGACGUCGCAGUGUCCAGGGGAGGAACACCCGUAAUAGCCACAGCAUCUGCAGACCAAACAGCUUGUGUUUGGGGCAUUGAUGGAGGGAGAAAUCUGCUGCAGUACACAGGUCACAGUGGAUCAGUCAAUUCCGUCAAAUUUCACCCCACAAAAGACCUGAUCCUGACAGCAAGUGGAGACAACACAGCCCAUGUUUUCCAGGCUGCCAUCACCCCAGACCAACUGCGUGUGCAUUCCUCAGAGGAUGAAGUAGAUGGCAGUGACAGAGAAGACGAAGAAGAUGGAGUCAUGAUGGGAGUACGUGGUGAUGGUGGUGGUGCUGCUACACUUCGCACUCCCCUGAGAGAGUUGACAGGACACACCAGUGUUGUUAUUGCUGCUGACUGGCUACCAGGAGGAGACCAGGCUAUUACUGCUGCAUGGGACAGAACGUCUAAUCUAUAUGAUGCCCACACUGGGGAGCUGCUUUCUCAGUUGAUAGGUCAUGACCAGGAGCUGACACAUUGCUGCUCUCACCCUACACAACGGCUGGUUGUCACAGCAAGCAAAGACACAACUUUCCGGCUGUGGGAUUUCCGUGACCCAAUACACUCUGUUUCCGUUUUUCAAGGCCAUACAGAGAGUGUUACUUCUGUUUGCUUCACACGAGAAGAUAAAGUUGUAUCGGGUUCGGAUGAUCGCAGUGUAAAGGUUUGGGAUGUGAAGAACAUGCGGUCUCCCCUGGCCACAAUCAGGCUAGACUCCCCAGUCAAUAGAUUGGCAGUAUCUUCCUCAAAUGUCAUUGCCAUUCCCCAUGAUAACCGUCAUGUGCGACUCUAUGACUUAUCAGGGAACCGCCUUGCAAGGUUGCCCAGGAGCAACAGACAGUGUCAUCGUCGAAUGGUGUGCAGUGUGGCUUGGGCGGAUGAUAAUGUUGGAGCAAGAUGUAACCUCUUUACAGCUGGAUUUGACCGCGUUGUGUAUGGGUGGUCGAUCCACUCGUUUAAAGAAGGAAAAGAUUAAAUUGAUCUUAUUUGUUUUGUCUAUACAAAUAUAUGUGUAUUUAUGUAUGAUGUAUACAUAUAUUUCGAUAUACCAAUAUAUGUAUAUUGAUAUAUAUUUAUGCAUAUCUAUUUGUGUAUAUCAAGUUACAUGGAAUGUAUGUAUGCCAAAAAGGCAGUGUUCAUAGUUUGUAGAUUGUAAGUGUCCUCAGCAGAUACAGCAUAUAGUUCAUGAGUGUUACUUAAUGCAAAACUCGAUGUGAGGAGAUUGAUGGUUGCUACAGCAAAUGAAGCCAAAUGACUUAUAGCUACUAUGACUUUUGGACAGCAUUAUGGAACUCUUUGCAUGUUGGUGAAGUGAACCCGAGGGAUUCGGGAAUGGCGAUGCUCGUCUCGGAACUCUUAUCGAAAGAGAGUUCACCAGAGACGCCACAGCCAUGGAGAUCUGCGCAAUACACGAGCCUGGGUGCCGAUGCCUCUGACCGGACGAUACGCAACCCGUUACUGCAGUCUCUAAACAACCAUAUUUUGUAUUUCAUUUCCUGCCCCUCUCUCUGCUUUGAUCACGAGGUAAAAAUGAAUAUGCUUAAAACCUAAGAAAACACACUUUUACUAACUAAUGUUCUAAGGUAUGGCAAUGUAAAUGUUACAUUGUCCAUGUCAACACAAAGGUGUGAAUCAUCAACCAAAGUAAUAAAUAACUAAAUAUUCUAUAGCAUAUUACCAUUAACUACAGCCAUACAUACCCAAAUAUGGUACAAGAAUUAUCUUAUGCCACUAGGAAAUGUGUUAAUAUAUUACAUUAACUAUAAAACCAACUCGUUCUUUGGCGAAAUGCGAAUUUAUCCAACCACUGCUUCAUAUGAAUUUAAAAUUAGUCUAUAUAUGCAAGUUCACUAUUUAUGGAAUGUCGGAAUGAUAUACUAUAAACAAUGGAACUAUUAAAAAUUAAACUAUAUGGUUUUAAAUAACUAAAUACUAUGUAUUCUUUAAGAAUCUAUUAAUUCAAUCAGUUUACCUUUACAAUACAAAAAAAAAAAAAAAAAAAAAA